CUUGACCUAAGAGAUAUAUGAAUUUCCUACAUAUUUGAUAAGGGAACCUGAUUACAGCAUACGGUGUUGAAGACCUGUCACGAGCAGGGAUCCUAAAGGAUGCGUAAGGUACCCACCUGUACUUAACAGGGAUAAUCAAAAAACUCUUAGGUCACUU
rnacentral:other from 1 species